rnacentral:rRNA from 1 species
UAGCUUGCUAGAAGAUGACGAGCGGCGGACGGGUGAGUAAUGCUUGGGAACAUGCCUUUAGGUGGGGGACAACCAUUGGAAACGAUGGCUAAUACCGCAUAAUGUCUACGGACCAAAGGGGGCUUCGGCUCUCGCCUUUAGAUUGGCCCAAGUGGGAUUAGCUAGUUGGUGAGGUAACGGCUCACCAAGGCGACGAUCCCUAGCUGGUUUGAGAGGAUGAUCAGCCACACUGGAACUGAGACACGGUCCAGACUCCUACGGGAGGCAGCAGUGGGGAAUAUUGCACAAUGGGCGCAAGCCUGAUGCAGCCAUGCCGCGUGUGUGAAGAAGGCCUUCGGGU